rnacentral:tRNA from 1 species
GCGCGGGUGCCGGAGCGGUUAAACGGGCGGGACUCAAGAUCCCGUGGCUUAGUGUCUACGCAGGUUCGAAUCCUGUCCCGCGCA